rnacentral:lncRNA from 1 species
GGGAGCUAGUUCUUGCUCCUAUUCAUGGUAACAUCAAUUAAAUAUUUGACUUGGAAGGUCCAUGAUACUAGAUAUCUCCAAUAGUUGUGGCUUUUAACUUCAUGUUGCAGGUGAUAUUUGCUUGCAGGAGCUUCUGUUAGGAGAUGACAAAGAAAUCUUUCCUAAAAGUUAUAUUAUGAAAAGAAUUGGUUUUUAAUAUCAUUAUGAGGCCAUAGAAGUUUUUCUUUAAUGCCAUACAUAUUUGGAGAUGCUCCCAAGCUUUUUGCUGCUAAUGGUUCUAGUUUGAUUAUGGUGUAUUCUUUUCCCCUAAAUUAUUAGUUUUAUUUCAUUAUCAUUCUGUAUGUUGUGUCUUUGUUAUCUCUGCAUUAUACUUCUAUGAUGAUCAAU